UUUUUCUCUCAACCCUGACUAGACCUCGAGUUGUCUCAACUCGCCUCCCCCAAUAUUAAGCGAUAGUGUAUAAGCUUGUUAGAGAGAGAAAAAAACUAGAGAGAGAAAGAAAAAAAAUUAGGUUUUCUAUGCAUUUUCCGGCGCCGACGAAGAAGAUACCGGGAAAGUUUGAGGUAUUUUGAACUUUUAACGCUGUUUUGUUUCGACGUUUUGGCUCUCGGAUAUCGUUUUUUGGUGGUCCUGUAGUUUUUCUGAAAAUUUGUAUUCAUAUAUGAGUUGUGGUUCUGAUUGAUGGACGAGAUUUGGGAAAGAGCGGUGGAGACGGCGUUAGACGGCGAGAGAGACUUUGGUUCUGUGAGAACCCUAACGUUGGACGGAGCGGUGAAGUGUAUUCAUGGUAAGUUGGCUCCUCCGUCGAUUUUCGAAAGGUUUCAGAAUCUAGAGCACCUUUCGAUUGCAAACACCGGUGUUACAUCGCUUGAACAGUUUCCUAGGCUUCAGAAUCUACAGAAGUUGAAUUUAUCGGACAAUAGAAUUGCUGGAGGGCUUGAGUUCCUUGUAGAGGCUGGUUUAAAUUCUCUUAGGGACCUUGAUUUGUCUAAUAACCGGAUUCAGGAUAUCGAUGAUCUUCGGCCUUUGGCUGAACUCAGGCUUGUCUCGCUUGAUCUCUAUGAAUGUCCCGUAACGAGGGUUAAGGAUUAUCGAUCUAGGGUUUUUGGUUUGAUUAGGUCGUUGAAGUUUUUGGAUAAGAUGGAUGCAGAGGGUAAUGAGAGGCCUGAAUCGGAUGAUGAGGAGGAAGAUGAAGAGGAGGAUGAAGAUGAUGAUCCAGGGAGCGGGGAAGUUGAUGGAGAGGAUCGUCCGUUCAGGAUGACAAAUGGACAUAGGGUUGAGAAUGAAGGAGUCGUAGAUGUGGAUGAAGAAGAGAGUGAUGCUGAUGAGGAGGAGACAGAGAUAACUAGAGUGACUAAUGGGUCUAAAGGGGAUGGUUCCAGUCACUCAAAUGGUUUUAGAGUCGAGGCAGCUUCUGAUGGAGAGGACGAGGAUGAUGAUGACGAGGAUGAUGAAGAUGAGGACUUUGUGGAGGAGAUAGAUGAAGAGGGAGAUGAAGAUGAUGUUGUGGAGGUUCAUGAGAUAGAAGACACUGAUGAGGAUGAAGAUGGUGUGGAGGACGACGAGGACGAUGAUGACGACGACGAUGAGGAUGAAGAGGAAGUUGAUAACGAUGAUGGGGAUUUUGCUGAGCCCGAAAGUACUGGGAGGUUGAAUAGCACAGAAGGAGAGAUUGAUGGGCAUGAGCAUGGGGAAGAUGAUGCAGAUGAGGAUGAUGAUGGGGAGACAGGGGAGGAAGAGCUAGGUGUUGAGGAGGACGGGGAUUUCGAAGAUGAUGAGGAUGCUGAAGAUGAGGAAGACGAUAAUGGGAAUGGCUAUCUUGUUCAACCAGUUGGUCAGGUUGUAGUAGAUGAUACUGAAGGCAGUGAUGUGGAGGCAGUAAUUGGGGAUGAAGAUGAUGCAGAUUUGGAGGAAGAUGUUGAUGAUGAUGAAGAAGAUGAUUAUGGAGAAGUUCAGGAGCAGCCACCAUCGUCCUCUCAGAAGAGGAAGAGAGAUGAUGAGGAUGAUGAUGGUGGGGACAACAACGACGGCAACGCAGAAGAUUAUUCGAAGUCAUCCAAGCACCGUUAGUGAAAGUGAUGAUGAUGGCAGUUAACUACUUUUGAGCAUGUUUGGCAGGUGUAGGAUGGAAGGGGGAGGAUAUAGAAAUGUUGAAAAGUAAAAUAUAUUGGCGGUCUCUUGGUGUGGGUGCAGUAGCCGUUGGUUAAUGAUUCAAAUGACAGUUAUUCAAUGCUCUAGUUUGUUGGAGGGGAAUUUGAAUUGAUGGGAAAAUCUUUGGCUAGUAGGUGAUGCCAGAUGUCAGUCAGCUAAUUUGAUUUGCAUGCGAGCGAGCGAUGACAUGAUAUGAUAACACGCCCGCUCCGGCUCAGAAUAUCUUAUUUAAUAAAGAGAAAAAAGGAAUGGUCCCUAUUCAACAAAAAAAGGAAAAGAAUUGGUUGCUUGUUUUGUGCAAAGCUAAAAAUAGUGCUGUUUUUUAACCCAAGAUGAUGGGAUUGGUGCUCUAUGAUGCCUUUUGUGUAUGUAAUGGGCUUGGAUGUUCGAAAUGAUGGGCCGUGAGCUUCAACAUAGCCGCAAUGGUUGCGACCAAAUGGGAUUCCACCUUGUACAAUUUUUAAAGCAAAAUUACAAAGACAUAUAGCGCGCGUGUGCGCGCUUGGUUUUGUAUCAUUACAUUUAUUAUUAUUCAAUUUAAAUAAAAAUGCAAACUA